rnacentral:rRNA from 1 species
AAAUAAUUUUUAACGGCCGCGGUAUCCUGACCGUGCAAAGGUAGCAUAAUCACUUGUCUCCUAAAUAGGGACUUGUAUGAAUGGCAAAACGAGGGUUUGACUGUCUCUCUUUCUCAAUCAAUGAAAUUGACCUACCCGUGCAGAGGCGGGUAUGACUAUAUAAGACGAGAAGACCCUGUGGAGCUUAAAAUUACAUCUUAAAUUAAUAUACCUUUUACCCUAAGGGAUUAAUCUUACAAACUUUUUAAGAUGAAUUUUUGGUUGGGGUGACCUCGGAGUACAAACAACCCUCCGAAUGACAUAACUAAGACCAACACAUCAAAGUGCUACCCAAGCCAGUAAUUGACCCAAAACUUGAUCAACGGAACAAGUUACCCCAGGGAUAACAGCGCAAUCCUAUUU